AAAUAAAUUAUUAAGAGCACUUGAUGGAUGCCUUGGCGUUAAGAGGCGAUGGAGGACGUGGCAGGCGUGGCGAUAAGCAGCGGGAAAUUGUCAACAAAUUUUGAUCCGCAGAUUUCCGAAUGGGGAAACCCAACUAGCUUAGCUAGUUAUAUAUACUAAGUAUAUAAAGCAAACUUGGUGAACUGAAAUAUCUAAGUAGCCGAAGGAAAAGAAAUCAACCGAGAUUCUGUUAGUAGUGACGAGCGAAAGCGGAAAAGGCUAGUGAUUUAAAAAUAAGAAUUAGAAUACUCUGGAAAUGGUAACCAUAGAAGGUGAUAGUCCUGUACAAAUAGAAAGUUUUUAAAUCCUUGAGUAGAGCGGGGCACGUGAAAUCCUGUUUGAAUAUGGGGGGACCAUCCUCCAAGCCUAAAUACUCCUUAGCGACCGAUAGUGAACAAGUACCGUGAGGGAAAGGUGAAAAGANACCNNNAGGGGAGUGAAAUAGAAUCUGAAAUCAAGUGCUUACAAACAGUUGGAGCUCUAUAUCAAUUUAUUGAUAUUUAGAGUGACAGCGUACCUUUUGCAUAAUGGGUCAGCGAGUUAAUCUAUGAAGCAAGCUUAAGAAGAUAGGUGUAGGCGUAGCGAAAGCAAGUCUGAAUAGGGCGUUUAGUUUUAUGGAUUAGACCCGAAACCAAGUGAUCUAGUCAUGACCAGAUUGAAGGUAUGGUAAAACAUACUGAAGGAUCGAACCAGUUAAUGUUGCAACAUUAUUGGAUGAGUUGUGAUUAGGGGUGAAAGGCCAAUCGGGCUAGAGCGGCCGCUCUAGCCCUGUUGGGGGUAGAGCACUGGAUAGACUAGGGGGAUUCAUCAUCUUACCAAAUCUAACCAAACUCCGAAUACCAAUAAUUAAUUAUACAGCAGACACACUAUGGGUGCUAAGUCCGUGGUGGAAAGGGAAACAGCCCAGAUCACUAUCUAAGGUCCCAAAAUUACAGCUAAGUGGGAAAGGAAGUAGAAAAACCAUUACAGCUAGGAGGUUGGCUUGGAAGCAGCCAUCCUUUAAACAAAGCGUAACAGCUCACUUGUCUAAAUAAGUUUUUCUGCGCCGAAAAUGUACCGGGGCUAAAGCUGUAUACCGAAGGGUGGGUGCUUAUUGAUUUCGAUUAAUAGGUGCGGUNGGAGCUUCCGUAAGUCUGUGAAGGUGGUUUGUAAAAACUGCUGGAGAUAUCGGAAGUGAGAAUNCUGACAUAAGUAGCGUAAAAGAGUGUGAAAAACACUCUCACCAAAAAUCUAANNNNNCCCACGUUAAGUUAAUCUACGUAGGGUUAGUCGGUUCCUAAGGCGAGUCCGUAAAGGAGUAGUCGAUGGCAAUUAGGUUAAUAUUCCUAAACCUCUUAAGUGUGACGGGUUUUGUAUUUGUAUAGGUCUGAUUGGAUUGAUCUAUGCUUAAAAGAAGCUGGAGGAAAUAGNACUUAUAUUUAUGAGGCUGUACCGUAAACCGACACUGGUGGAUGAGUAGAGUAUACUAAGGUGUUGAAAGAAUGAUGUUGAAGGAACUCGGNAAAUUAUACCUGUAACUUCGGAAGAAGGGUAACCUGCUUUUAGGCAACUAUAAGUAGGUGGCACAAAAUAGGGAGUAGCGACUGUUUACUAAAAACACAGGACUCUGCAAACACGUAAGUGGAAGUAUAGGGUCUGACGCCUGCCCGGUGCUGGAAGGUUAAUAGGAGGGGUGCAAGCUCUGAAUUGAAGCCCCAGUAAACGGCGCCGUAACACUGACGGCCCUAAGGUAGCGAAAUUCCUUGUCGGGUAAGUUCCGACCCGCACGAAUGGCGUAACGAUUUCUCCACUGUCUCCAACAUCACUUCAGCGAAAUUGAAUUCCCCGUGCAGAUGCGGGUACCGGCCUUAGACGAAGAGACCCCGUGCACCUUUACUAUAGCUUUACAUUGCUAUUAAAAGUGUGAUGUGCAGGAUAGGUGGGAGACUUUGAAGUUAUGGCGCUCAUGAUAAUGGAGUUAACCUUGAGAUACCACCCUUUACACUUUUGAUAUCUAACUAUGUUUCAUUAUCUGGAACUAGGACAUUGUAUGGUGGGUAGUUUGACUGGCGGUCGCCUCCUAAAAAGUAACGGAGGCGUGCGAAGGUAAGCUAGAGCUGGUCGGAAAUCAGCUUGAUAGUACAAUGGCAUAAGCUUGCCUGACUGCGAGGCUGACAAGCCAAGCAGAGACGAAAGUCGGUCAUAGUGAUCCGGUAAUUCUGUAUGGAAGGGUUAUCGCUCAACGGAUAAAAGGUACGCCGGGGAUAACAGGCUGAUGGUGUUCGAGAGUUCAUAUCGACGACACCGUUUGGCACCUCGAUGUCGACUCAUCACAUCCUGGGGCUGGAGAAGGUCCCAAGGGUUCUUGUUCGCCGAUUAAAGUGUUACGUGAGUUGGGUUUAGAACGUCGUGAGACAGUUCGGUUUCUAUCUGCCGUGGGUGAAGGAAAUUUGAGAAGAUCCGUCGACCCAGAUCUGACUCUAGUACGAGAGGACCGAGAUGUAUAUACCUCUGGUGUACCAGCUGUUAUGCCAAUAGCAUCGCUGGGUAGCUAUGUAUAGAUGGGAUAAUUGCUGAAACGUAUAAGCAAGAAACCCUCUUCAAAAAAAUUUCCCAAUUAAGGCCGUGGGAGACUACCACGUUGAUAGGCUAGGUGUAGAAGCAUGGUAACAUGUGAAGCUAACUGGUACUAAU
rnacentral:rRNA from 1 species